UAGCAAGACUUAACAACAAGGUCAUGAACAAUGGGGUAUGGGGGUUAAUAGAUUGAAGCGGGUGUAUGGAUAAAGAAAAUGCUUGGUUGGGACAAAGGCCCAAGUCUUCUAAAAAACGCCAAGAACCGGGUUAACCACUCAUGUCCACGCAACCACAAGACCAGGUUCCAUGCUUAAACAUAACGCCCAAGUCAGAACGCUUGAAAAUGUUUGUUCACAGUCACAAUACUCACACCCACAAAAUCUUAGUCUUCAAACUCACUUCAACCUCGUGCACAACCAUAGACAAACGAAGAAUCAGGAAUGCAAAUUAAACCUCUAUGAAGGAUAAGAACAAAUUUCGAAUUCGCGUCCAAACUCAACGUCGAAUCGCAAUCAACAGAAAUUGAAAUCACUUAACAACUUGUUCUUGCACGCAAAUGAAAGAAGACGAAAGGGAGAAACUUACCGGAUGAUUUCGACGCAGUGGCUCCGGGUAAUCUUCUUCUUGACGCCUUCGAUUUGUCUCAAUCUCUUCCGUUGUGUGCCGUUGCGAAUUGUAGUCGUUGUUUAUUGCGUAUUAGUACUGAAUUGAGGUGAGGGUGAUGAAUCGUGGAUUCAAGUGAAGAGAGAAGAGUGAAAACGAUUGAAUUAUGAAAAGGGUGGAUGCACACAUGAAUCUGUAUUGAAUAGUGCAAUUGGAAGGUGGGUUGGAUUCAUGGAAUGUAUUGAAGAUGAGACUGUUUUGGAAUUGGAGCUAUUUGGAGUGAAAUAAUUUAUAUGUAAUUAUGACUUGUUGUAUGUAGGAUUGAAUUUGUAUUUGAAUGUAAUAUGAAUGAUGGUGUAUGGUAUGUUGUAAUUGAAAUGUGAAUAAUUGUUAAAUGGAAUUUGGAACCCCAAUUGUAUUUGAAUGGUUUAAAUGAGAAUUGAAUGUGAUUUUUGGAAUUGAAAA